CCCUACGGGGGGCAGCAGUGAGGAAUAUUGAUCAAUGGUCGGGAGACUGAACCAGCCAAGCCGCGUGAGGGAUGAAGGUACAGAGUAUCGUAAACCUCUUUUGUCAGGGAACAAAGGCGGGGACGCGUCCCCGGAUGAGUGUACCUGAAGAAAAAGCAUCGGCUAACUCCGUGCCAGCAGCCGCGGUAAUACGGAGGAUGCGAGCGUUAUCCGGAUUCAUUGGGUUUAAAGGGUGCGCAGGCGGUCUGUUAAGUCAGCGGUCAAAGCCCGGGGCUCAACCCCGGCCCGCCGUUGAAACUGGCAGU
rnacentral:rRNA from 1 species